rnacentral:tRNA from 1 species
GCUAUGGUGGUUCAGUGGUAGAAUUCUUGUCUACUAUGCUGGAGUCUUGGGUUUGAUUCCCAUCCAGUGCA